UGAAAGCCUCUCCACACAUCACACAACUCCUGAGCCUCCAUGAGAUGAAUGAGACGAGUGCGAGAGGCAGCGUGAGGCUCUGCAUGGUUCCUGUCUAACCUGCUGUCCUCAGUGCAGUUAAAGUCUCCACCGAUGAAGACAUAUUCCUCACUGUUACACUUCUCCAUCACCUCGUUUAAAACAUCUAGAAACACGAGUCUCUCCGCUCCCACAACUGGAGCAUAAAUAUUAAUAAAUACCAUCUUUACAUUUUCAUACACUGCUCUUACUUUUAACAGACGACCUUUAAGAACUUCUUCACAUUCUACCGACUGAGGAAUAACGUUUUUGGAAAAAAGAAUUCCAACACCACAACUGUUACUGGUUUUAUGAGUUAAAAAGGUUUCACCAGUCCAUUCUGUCCUCCAGUCAGCCUCGUUAUCAGAGGUACUGUGUGUCUCUUGUAUAAAAAUAACAUCCAACUUUUUAAUAGAACACAGCUUGAAAAGAGAAGCCCUUUUCCCAUCAUCCCUUGCUCCAUUUAUGUUCAGGCUUCCUAUUCGUAUGUCCCCCAUGGCAUAGA